CAGCCGCCACGGUAACACGUAGGGUGCGAGCGUUUAUCGGAAUUACUGGGCGUAAAGCGUGCGCAGGCGGUUGUGUAAGACAGGUGUGAAAUCCCCGGGCUUAACCUGGGAACUGCGCUUGUGACUGCACAGCUAGAGUAUGGCAGAGGGGGGUGGAAUUCCACGUGUAGCAGUGAAAUGCGUAGAGAUGUGGAGGAACACCGAUGGCGAAGGCAGCCCCCUGGGCCAAUACUGACGCUCAUGCACGAAAGCGUGGGGAGCAAACAGGAUUAGAUACCCCUGUAGUCCCUGUCUCUUAUAC
rnacentral:rRNA from 1 species